rnacentral:piRNA from 1 species
UUGUAUUUAAAAGAGCAUCAUCAUUUCAGU